UUUUUAAUAAGUUUUUGCUCCAAGCGAGAAACAUGACGCACGUGGCCGGUAUUUAUUAAACAAUGUUUCUGAUUUUUGACGGUUGCGGUAAGUUAUAGCUUGCGCGCGGUACUCACGCGUCUAGGGGCGGCGAUUGCGUGGCAAAAAGGUACCCCGUUGUGAAAGGGGUCAAACCGCGGUAGAACUCGUGUUGGUGCGGUAGAGAGGGAAGGGUGGAAACGGUGGAAAACCAGUCUUUGUUGUUGACGGGAGAGUACGUGGUACGGUGCGGUAUCCGUUAUUCUGGGAGGGGCGAGAAUAAGGGACGAAGGCGGGAGUAACAUGUCGGAUGCGAUCAUACCAGCACUAAAGCACCGGAUCCCAUCAGAACUCCGAAGUUAAGCUGCUUGGGCGAGAGUAGUACUAGGAUAGGAUGACCUGGGAAGUCCUCGUGUUGCAUUCUC
rnacentral:rRNA from 1 species